AACGAACGCUGGCGGCAUGCCUAACACAUGCAAGUCGAACGAGACCUUCGGGUCUAGUGGCGCACGGGUGCGUAACGCGUGGGAAUCUGCCCUUGGGUUCGGAAUAACAGCGAGAAAUUGCUGCUAAUACCGGAUGAUGACGUAAGUCCAAAGAUUUAUCGCCCAAGGAUGAGCCCGCGUAGGAUUAGCUAGUUGGUGAGGUAAAGGCUCACCAAGGCGACGAUCCUUAGCUGGUCUGAGAGGAUGAUCAGCCACACUGGGACUGAGACACGGCCCAGACUCCUACGGGAGGCAGCAGUGGGGAAUAUUGGACAAUGGGCGAAAGCCUGAUCCAGCAAUGCCGCGUGAGUGAUGAAGGCCUUAGGGUUGUAAAGCUCUUUA
rnacentral:rRNA from 1 species